rnacentral:rRNA from 1 species
AUUGAACGCUCGCGGCAGGCCUAACACAUGCAAGUCGAACGGUAGCACAGAGAGCUUGCUCUCGGGUGACGAGUGGCGGACGGGUGAGUAACGUCUGGGAAACUGCCCGAUGGAGGGGGAUAACUACUGGAAACGGUAGCUAAUACCGCAUAACGUCGCAAGACCAAAGUGGGGGACCUUCGGGCCUCACACCAUCGGAUGUGCCCAGAUGGGAUUAGCUAGUAGGUGGGGUAAUGGCUCACCUAGGCGACGAUCCCUAGCUGGUCUGAGAGGAUGACCAGCCACACUGGAACUGAGACACGGUCCAGACUCCUACGGGAGGCAGCAGUGGGGGAUAUUGCACAAUGGGCGCAAGCCUGAUGCAGCCAUGCCGCGUGUAUGAAGAAGGCCUUCGGGUUGUAAAGUACUUUCAGCGGGGAGGAAGGCGGUGGAGUUAAUAACUUCACCGAUUGACGUUACCCGCAGAAGAAGCACCGGCUAACUCCGUGCCAGCCGCCGCAGUAA